rnacentral:rRNA from 1 species
UACGUAGGGUGCGAGCGUUAAUCGGAAUUACUGGGCGUAAAGUGUGCGCAGGCGGCUUCGCAAGUCGAGUGUGAAAUCCCCGAGCUUAACUUGGGAAUUGCGCUCGAAACUACGGAGCUGGAGUGUGGCAGAGGAAGGUGGAAUUCCACGUGUAGCGGUGAAACGCGUAGAGAUGUGGAGGAACACCGAUGGCGAAGGCAGCCUUCUGGGCCAACACUGACGCUCAUGCACGAAAGCGUGGGGAGCAAACGGG